CGAAACCCGGUGAUCUAGCCAUGGGCAGGUUGAAGGUUGGGUAACACUAACUGGAGGACCGAACCGACUAAUGUUGAAAAAUUAGCGGAUGACUUGUGGCUGGGGGUGAAAGGCCAAUCAAACCGGGAGAUAGCUGGUUCUCCCCGAAAGCUAUUUAGGUAGCGCCUCGUGAAUUCAUCUCCGGGGGUAGAGCACUGUUUCGGCAAGGGGGUCAUCCCGACUUACCAACCCGAUGCAAACUGCGAAUACCGGAGAAUGUUAUCACGGGAGACACACGGCGGGUGCUAACGUCCGUCGUGAAGAGGGAAACAACCCAGACCGCCAGCUAAGGUCCCAAAGUCAUGGUUAAGUGGGAAACGAUGUGGGAAGGCCCAGACAGCCAGGAUGUUGGCUUAGAAGCAGCCAUCAUUUAAAGAAAGCGUAAUAGCUCACUGGUCGAGUCGGCCUGCGCGGAAGAUGUAACGGGGCUAAACCAUGCACCGAAGCUGCGGCAGCGACGCUGAUGCGUUGUUGGGUAGGGGAGCGUUCUGUAAGCCUGUGAAGGUGUGCUGUGAGGCAUGCUGGAGGUAUCAGAAGUGCGAAUGCUGACAUAAGUAACGAUAAAGCGGGUGAAAAGCCCGCUCGCCGGAAGACCAAGGGUUCCUGUCCAACGUUAAUCGGGGCAGGGUGAGUCGACCCCUAAGGCGAGGCCGAAAGGCGUAGUCGAUGGGAAACAGGUUAAUAUUCCUGUACUUGGUGUUACUGCGAAGGGGGGACGGAGAAGGCUAUGUUGGCCGGGCGACGGUUGUCCCGGUUUAAGCGUGUAGGCUGGUUUUCCAGGCAAAUCCGGAAAACUAAGGCUGAGGCGUGAUGACGAGGCACUACGGUGCUGAAGCAACAAAUGCCCUGCUUCCAGGAAAAGCCUCUAAGCAUCAGGUAACAUCAAAUCGUACCCCAAACCGACACAGGUGGUCAGGUAGAGAAUACCAAGGCGCUUGAGAGAACUCGGGUGAAGGAACUAGGCAAAAUGGUGCCGUAACUUCGGGAGAAGGCACGCUGAUAUGUAGGUGAAGUCCCUCGCGGAUGGAGCUGAAAUCAGUCGAAGAUACCAGCUGGCUGCAACUGUUUAUUAAAAACACAGCACUGUGCAAACACGAAAGUGGACGUAUACGGUGUGACGCCUGCCCGGUGCCGGAAGGUUAAUUGAUGGGGUCAGCGCAAGCGAAGCUCUUGAUCGAAGCCCCGGUAAACGGCGGCCGUAACUAUAACGGUCCUAAGGUAGCGAAAUUCCUUGUCGGGUAAGUUCCGACCUGCACGAAUGGCGUAAUGAUGGCCAGGCUGUCUCCACCCGAGACUCAGUGAAAUUGAACUCGCUGUGAAGAUGCAGUGUACCCGCGGCAAGACGGAAAGACCCCGUGAACCUUUACUAUAGCUUGACACUGAACAUUGAGCCUUGAUGUGUAGGAUAGGUGGGAGGCUUUGAAGUGUGGACGCCAGUCUGCAUGGAGCCGACCUUGAAAUACCACCCUUUAAUGUUUGAUGUUCUAACGUUGACCCGUAAUCCGGGUUGCGGACAGUGUCUGGUGGGUAGUUUGACUGGGGCGGUCUCCUCCUAAAGAGUAACGGAGGAGCACGAAGGUUGGCUAAUCCUGGUCGGACAUCAGGAGGUUAGUGCAAUGGCAUAAGCCAGCUUGACUGCGAGCGUGACGGCGCGAGCAGGUGCGAAAGCAGGUCAUAGUGAUCCGGUGGUUCUGAAUGGAAGGGCCAUCGCUCAACGGAUAAAAGGUACUCCGGGGAUAACAGGCUGAUACCGCCCAAGAGUUCAUAUCGACGGCGGUGUUUGGCACCUCGAUGUCGGCUCAUCACAUCCUGGGGCUGAAGUAGGUCCCAAGGGUAUGGCUGUUCGCCAUUUAAAGUGGUACGCGAGCUGGGUUUAGAACGUCGUGAGACAGUUCGGUCCCUAUCUGCCGUGGGCGCUGGAGAACUGAGGGGGGCUGCUCCUAGUACGAGAGGACCGGAGUGGACGCAUCACUGGUGUUCGGGUUGUCAUGCCAAUGGCACUGCCCGGUAGCUAAAUGCGGAAGAGAUAAGUGCUGAAAGCAUCUAAGCACGAAACUUGCCCCGAGAUGAGUUCUCCCUGACUCCUUGAGAGUCCUGAAGGAACGUUGAAG
rnacentral:rRNA from 1 species